UACGGGGGGAGCAAGCGUUGUUCGGAUUUACUGGGCGUAAAGAGCGCGCAGGCGGUCGUUCAAGUCGCGUGUGAAAGCCCCCCGGCUCAACUGGGGAGGGUCACGCGAUACUGAUCGACUCGAAGGCAGGAGAGGUCAGUGGAAUUCUCGGUGUAGUGGUGAAAUGCGUAGAUAUCGAGAGGAACACCAGUGGCGCAAGCGGCUGACUGGCCGAGACCUGACGCUGAGACACGACGGCGUGGGGAGCAAACCGG
rnacentral:rRNA from 1 species